UACGUAGGGUGCAAGCGUUGUCCGGAAUUAUUGGGCGUAAAGAGCUCGUAGGCGGUUUGUCGCGUCUGCCGUGAAAACUCGGGGCUCAACCCCGAGCCUGCAGUCGAUACGGGCAAACUUGAGUGUGGUAGGGGAGACUGGAAUUCCUGGUGUAGCGGUGAAAUGCGCAGAUAUCAGGAGGAACACCGGCGGCGAAGGCGGGUCUCUGGGCCAUAACUGACGCUGAGGAGCGAAAGCGUGGGGAGCGAAACAGG
rnacentral:rRNA from 1 species